CCAGCAGCCGCGGUAAUUCCAGCAGUCCAAGUCGCAACCACAAUUAUUGGGUCUAAAACAUUCGUAGCUUGUUAUAUAAGUCUCUUGUGAAAUCUGGCAUCUUAAGUGUCAGGCGGGCAAGAGAUACUGUAUAGCUAGAGACCGGCGGACGUAAGGAGUACACUCAAGGUAGUGGUUAAAUACGUUGAUCUUGAGUGGACUAACAACAGCGAAGGCACCUUACGAUGACGGAUCUGACAGUGAGGAAUGAAGGCUAGGGGCGCAAAAUGGAUUAGAUACCCAUGUAGUCCUAGCAGUAAACACUGCACACUAAACAUUCGUACCUCUUCGAGAGGUAUGGGUGCUGUAGCGAAGGCGAAGAGUGUGCUACCUGGGAAGUAUAGUCGCAAGACCGAAACUUAAAGGAAUUGGCGGGGGAGCACGGGUAUAGUCCGUG
rnacentral:rRNA from 1 species